AUUGAACGCUGGCGGCAGGCCUAACACAUGCAAGUCGAGCGGAUGAAGGGAGCUUGCUCCUGGAUUCAGCGGCGGACGGGUGAGUAAUGCCUAGGAAUCUGCCUGGUAGUGGGGGAUAACGUCCGGAAACGGGCGCUAAUACCGCAUACGACCUGAGGGAGAAAGUGGGGGAUCUUAGGACCUCACGCUAUCAGAUGAGCCUAGGUCGGAUUAGCUAGUUGGUGGGGUAAAGGCCUACCAAGGAGACGAUCCGUAACUGGUCUGAGAGGAUGAUCAGUCACACGGGAACUGAGACACGGUCCAGACUCCUACGGGAGGCAGCAGUGGGGAAUAUUGGACAAUGGGCGAAAGCCUGAUCCAGCCAUGCCGCGUGUGUGAAGAAGGUCUUCGGAUUGUAAAGCACUUUAAGUUGGGAGUAAGGGCAGUAAGUUAAUACCUUGCUGUUUUGACGUUACCAACAGAAUAAGCACCGGCUAACUUCGUG
rnacentral:rRNA from 1 species